rnacentral:rRNA from 1 species
GUUUUGAUGAUUCAUAAUAUCUUUACGAAUCGCAUGACCUUGUGUCGGCGAUGAAUCAUUCAAGUUUCUGCCCUAUCAACUUUUGAUGGUAGUGUGUUGGACUACCAUGGUGAUAACGGGUAACGGAGGAUUAGGGUUUGAUUCCGGAGAGGGAGCCUGAGAAACGGCUACCACAUCUAAGGAAGGCAGCAGGCGCGCAAAUUACCCAAUCUCAAAUCGAGGAGGUAGUGACAAUAAAUAACAAUGCAGGGCUAUUAUAGUCUUGCAAUUGGAAUGAGAACAAUGUAAAUGCCUUAACGAGGAACAAUUGGAGGGCAAGUCUGGUGCCAGCAGCCGCGGUAAUUCCAGCUCCAAUAGCGUAUAUUUUUGUUGUUGUAGUUGAAAAGCUCGUAGUUGGAUUUGAGAAUGGAGAUACUGGUCUGCUACUUUGUAGUGUGUACUGGUUUUUGUGUUCUUUUAUUUGAGAAAUCUUUUUGUUCUUCAUUGGAUAAUUAGAGGACUUGAAUCUUUUACUUUGAAAAAAUUAGAGUGUUCAAAGCAGGCCAAUGCCUUGAAUAUAUUAGCAUGGAAUAAUAAAAUAGGACUUUGGUUCUAUUUUGUUGGUUAUUAGGACUAAAGUAAUGAUUAAUAGGGGCAGUUGGGGGCAUUAAAAUUUCGAUGUCAGAGGUGAAAUUCUUAGAUUUUCGGAAGUUUAACAUCUGCGAAAGCAUUUGCCAAGGAUGUUUUCAUUAAUCAAGAACGAAAGUCAGGGGAUCGAAGACGAUCAGAUACCGUCGUAGUCCUGACCAUAAACGAUGCCAACUAGGGAUUGGUGGAUGUUAUUUUUAUGACUUCAUCAGCAUCUUCCGAGAAAUCAAAGUUUUUGGGUUCUAGGGGGAGUAUGGUCGCAAGGCUGAAACUUAAAGGAAUUGACGGAAGGGCACCACCAGGAGUGGAGCCUGCGGCUUAAUUUGACCCAACACGGGAAAACUUACCAGGUCCAGACAUAGUAAGGAUUGACAGAUUGAGAGCUCUUUCUUGAUUCUAUGGGUGGUGGUGCAUGGCCGUUCUUAGUUGGUGGAGUGAUUUGUCUGCUUAAUUGCGAUAACGAACGAGACCUUAACCUACUAAAUAGUUACUUGAACCCUCGGUUCAAGGGCAACUUCUUAGAGGGACUAUAUAAGUCAAUUAUAUGGAAGUUUGAGGCAAUAACAGGUCUGUGAUGCCCUUAGAUGUUCUGGGCUGCACGCGCGCUACACUGACGAAUUCAAUGAGUUUGUCCUUGACUGAAAAGUCUGGGUAAUCUUUCUAACGUUCGUCGUGCUGGGGAUUGACAAUUGCAAUUAUUUGUCAUGAACGAGGAAUUCCUAGUAAGCGUGAGUCAUCAGCUCACGUUGAUUACGUCCCUGCCCUUUGUACACACCGCCCGUCGCUCCUACCGAUUGGAUGAUCCGGUGAAGCCUUCGGACUGUUGCG